AACGAACGCUGGCGGCAGGCUUAACACAUGCAAGUCGAACGCCCCGCAAGGGGAGUGGCAGACGGGUGAGUAACGCGUGGGAAUCUACCCAGAUCUUCGGAACAACUGAGGGAAACUUCAGCUAAUACCGGAUACGCCCUACGGGGGAAAGAUUUAUCGGUUCUGGAUGAGCCCGCGUUGGAUUAGCUAGUUGGUGGGGUAAUGGCCUACCAAGGCGACGAUCCAUAGCUGGUCUGAGAGGAUGAUCAGCCACACUGGGACUGAGACACGGCCCAGACUCCUACGGGAGGCAGCAGUGGGGAAUAUUGGACAAUGGGCGAAAGCCUGAUCCAGCCAUGCCGCGUGAGUGAUGAAGGCCUUAGGGUUGUAAAGCUCUUUCAGUGGAGAAGAUAAUGACGGUACCCACAGAAGAAGCCCCGGCUAACUUCGUGCCAGCCGCCGCAGUAAAAC
rnacentral:rRNA from 1 species